UACAGAGGUCCCGAGCGUUGUUCGGAUUCACUGGGCGUAAAGGGUGCGUAGGUGGGCAGUUAAGUCAGUGGUGAAAUCUCCGGGCUCAACCCGGAAACUGCCAUUGAUACUAUCUGUCUUGAAUAUCGUGGAGGUAAGCGGAAUAUGUCAUGUAGCGGUGAAAUGCUUAGAUAUGACAUAGAACACCAAUUGCGAAGGCAGCUCACUACUCAAUCAUUGACUCUGAGGCACGAAAAGCGUGGGGGAUCAAAACAGG
rnacentral:rRNA from 1 species